UACGGAGGUGGCAAGCGUUGCUCGGAAUCACUGGGCGUAAAGGGCGCGUAGGCGGGGAGGUAAGUCGGGUGUGAAAUCCCUCGGCCCAACUGAGGAACUGCGCCCGAGACUGCUUCUCUUGAGUCCCGGAGAGGAAGAUGGAAUUCCUGGUGUAGCGGUGAAAUGCGCAGAUAUCAGGAGGAACACCGGUGGCGAAGGCGGCUUGCUGGGCCAGUUCUGACGCUGAGGAGCGAAAGCGUGGGGAGCGAACAGG
rnacentral:rRNA from 1 species